rnacentral:rRNA from 1 species
UACGUAGGGUGCGAGCGUUAAUCGGAAUUACUGGGCGUAAAGCGUGCGCAGGCGGUUGUGCAAGACAGAUGUGAAAUCCCCGGGCUAACCUGGGAACUGCAUUUGUGACUGCACAGCUAGAGUACGGCAGAGGGGGAUGGAAUUCCGCGUGUAGCAGUGAAAUGCGUAGAUAUGCGGAGGAACACCGAUGGCGAAGGCAGUCCCCCUGGGCCUGUACUGACGCUCCAUGCACGAAAAGCGUGGGGGAGCAAACAGG